AUUGAACGCUGGCGGCAGGCCUAACACAUGCAAGUCGAGCGAGCGGCGGAGGGGAGAGUAAUGCCUGGGAAUUGCCCAGUCGGGGGGGAUAACCGUUGGAAACGACUGAUAAUACCGCAUAAGAUUGGAUUGCCCAUGUGGGAUUAGCUAGUGGGUGAGGUAAUGGCUCCCCAAGGCGACGAUCCCUAGCUGGUCUGAGAGGAUGAUCAGCCACACUGGAACUGAGACACGGUCCAGACUCCUACGGGAGGCAGCAGUGGGGAAUAUUGCACAAUGGGGGAAACCCUGAUGCAGCCAUGCCGCGUGUGUGAAGAAGGCCUUCGGGUUGUAAAGCACGUUCAGCGAGGAGGCGUUACUCGCAGAAGAAGCACCGGCUAACUCCGUGCCAGCAGCCGCGGUAAUUC
rnacentral:rRNA from 1 species